UUAAUAAUUCUAUUCCAUAGGACAUAACCUGCAUAGCUCCGUUUAGAUCAGUAGGUAACAUCCCGAUGAACAUCUUGUUCAACUUCAAGGAAAAUACAACGUGUGAUUCACGUUAUUUGUGUGUUACAACAAAAAGAGUUGCGGUGCGGACCAUAAUGUUUGGUUUUAAUCUGUUAUUCGUUGUAGAGAUUACAUUAAAAAGUUUCCCUGAUUCCCUUAGUUUAGAGUUCGUCGGCAUGUGCAGGCUCUAAGUUAGUGAAGACGAACGAAAAGGUGAAAAAUGCGAAAAACGCGAAAAAUGGCAAGUAAGCCGUCGAGGCUGUUGCAGUGACAGAGAGCCUGAAAACUGAGAGACCUGGGUCGCAUAAUGAACCGGUAUGUGGUAAUAAGAGAAGUUUUAGUAUGUUUUCUAAUCCGCUCUAGCAUUUCAACCCUCAAAAAAAA